GUGAGUAAUACGUGAGUAACCUGCCCUUGACUCUGGGAUAAGCCUGGGAAACUGGGUCUAAUACUGGAUACGACGGCGCAUCGCAUGGUGUGUUGUGGAAAGGGUUUUACUGGUUUUGGAUGGGCUCACGGCCUAUCAGCUUGUUGGUGGGGUAAUGGCUCACCAAGGCGACGACGGGUAGCCGGCCUGAGAGGGUGACCGGCCACACUGGGACUGAGACACGGCCCAGACUCCUACGGGAGGCAGCAGUGGGGAAUAUUGCACAAUGGGCGGAAGCCUGAUGCAGCGACGCCGCGUGAGGGAUGACGGCCUUCGGGUUGUAAACCUCUUUCAGCACGGAAGAAGCGAGAGUGACGGUACGUGCAGAAGAAGCGCCGGCUAACUACGUGCCAGCAGCCGCGGUAAUACGUAGGGCGCAAGCGUUGUCCGGAAUUAUUGGGCGUAAAGAGCUCGUAGGCGGUUUGUCGCGUCUGCUGUGAAAGCCCGGGGCUUAACCCCGGGUGUGCAGUGGGUACGGGCAGACUUGAGUGCAGUAGGGGAGACUGGAAUUCCUGGUGUAGCGGUGAAAUGCGCAGAUAUCAGGAGGAACACCGAUGGCGAAGGCAGGUCUCUGGGCUGUUACUGACGCUGAGGAGCGAAAGCAUGGGGAGCGAACAGGAUUAGAUACCCUGGUAGUCCAUGCCGUAAACGUUGGGCACUAGGUGUGGGGAACAUUCCACGUUUUCCGCGCCGUAGCUAACGCA
rnacentral:rRNA from 1 species